rnacentral:misc_RNA from 1 species
GAUGAAGAACGUAGCGAAAUGCGAUAAGUAGUGUGAAUUGCAGAUUUCAGUGAAUCAUCGAAUCUUUGAACGCACAUUGCGCCCUUUGGUAUUCCUUAGGGCAUGCCUGUUCGAGCGUCAUUUAAACCUUCAAGCUCAGCUUGGUGAUGGGUGACUGUCCGCUGCCUCCCCCCGGGGUGCGCCGCGGACUCGCCUCAAAUUUAUUGGCGGCCGGUACGUUGGCUUCGAGCGCAGCAGAAACGCGUAACUCGAGGUCUCCGUGGCGGCUCCCACAAGCAACCUUCAUUAUUUUGACCUCGGAUCAGGUAGGGAUACCCGCUGAACUUAAGCAUAUCAAUAGCGGAGGA